GUUUCCAUAGUGUAGUGGUUAUCACGUUCGUCUUACACACGAAAUGUCCCCAGUUCGAAACUGGGUGGAAACA